GUGUCAGCCGCCGCGGUAAUACGUAGGUGGCAAGCGUUGUCCGGAAUUAUUGGGCGUAAAGGGCGCGUAGGCGGUUCUUUAAGUCAGAUGUGAAAACCCGAGGCUCAACUUCGGGCGUGCAUUUGAAACUGGGGGACUAGAGUGCAGGAGAGGUAAGUGGAAUUCCUAGUGUAGCGGUGAAAUGCGUAGAUAUUAGGAGGAACACCAGUGGCGAAGGCGACUUACUGGACUGUAACUGACGCUGAGGCGCGAAAGCGUGGGGAGCAAACAGGAUUAGAUACCCUGGUAGUCCACGCUGUAAACGAUGGAUACUAGGUGUGGGAGGUAUCGACCCCUUCCGUGCCGCAGUAAACGCAAUAAGUAUCCCGCCUGGGGAGUACGGCCGCAAGGUUGAAACUUAAAGGAAUUGACGG
rnacentral:rRNA from 1 species